GGAUGGUCACUGCUGGAACGGCAGCUAAGACCGGAUAUGCCCUUGGGUGAAAUAUUGUAUAGCCAAAAGAGGAGCUCGCGACCGAUUAGCUAGUUGGUGGGGUAAGAGCCUACCAAGGCUGCGAUCGGUAGCCGGUUUGAGAGGACGACCGGCCACACUGGGACUGAGACACGGCCCAGACUCCUACGGGAGGCAGCAGUGGGGAAUUUUCCGCAAUGGGCGAAAGCCUGACGGAGCAAUACCGCGUGAGGGAGGAAGGCUCUUGGGUCGUAAACCUCUUUUCUCAAGGAAGAAUCAAAUGACGGUACUUGAGGAAUCAGCAUCGGCUAACUCCGUGCCAGCAGCCGCGGUAAUACGGAGGAUGCAAGCGUUAUCCGGAAUGAUUGGGCGUAAGCGUCCGCAGGUGGCACAUCAAGUCUGCUGUCAAGCCCCAGCUUACUGGGAAAAGCGGUGGAACUGGUGACUAGAGACAAUAGGGUAGAGGAAUUCCGGUGUACGGUGAAUGCGUAAAAUCGGAAAAACCCAGUGGCGAAGCGCUCUACUAGUUGCGACUGACCUGAGGGACAAAGCUAGGGAACCAAGGGAUAAU
rnacentral:rRNA from 2 species